UACGAAGGGGGCUAGCGUUGUUCGGAAUUACUGGGCGUAAAGGGCGCGUAGGCGGUGUGUCAAGUCAGGCGUGAAAGCCCCGGGCUCAACCUGGGAACCGCGCUUGAGACUGGCACGCUCGAGUUCGGGAGAGGAUGGUGGAAUUCCCAGUGUAGAGGUGAAAUUCGUAGAUAUUGGGAAGAACACCGAUGGCGAAGGUAGCCAUCUGGACCGACACUGACGCUGAGGCGCGAAAGCGUGGGGAGCAAACAGG
rnacentral:rRNA from 1 species